AGCGAACGCUGGCGGCAGGCUUAACACAUGCAAGUCGAGCGGGCACUUUCGGGUGUCAGCGGCGGACGGGUGAGUAACGCGUGGGAACGUGCCCUCUGGUUCGGAAUAACUCAGGGAAACUUGAGCUAAUACCGGAUACGCCCUUUUGGGGAAAGGCUUGCUGCCGGAGGAUCGGCCCGCGUCUGAUUAGCUAGUUGGUGAGGUAACGGCUCACCAAGGCGACGAUCAGUAGCUGGUCUGAGAGGAUGAUCAGCCACACUGGGACUGAGACACGGCCCAGACUCCUACGGGAGGCAGCAGUGGGGAAUAUUGGACAAUGGGCGCAAGCCUGAUCCAGCCAUGCCGCGUGAGUGAUGAAGGCGUUAGGGUUGUAAAGCUCUUUUAUCCGGGACGAUAAUGACGGUACCGGAGGAAUAAGCCCCGGCUAACUUCGUG
rnacentral:rRNA from 1 species